rnacentral:rRNA from 1 species
AUGCGUGCAAGGUUAUCUGGAGGUCAUUUCAGAAUGUUAAACGAGAAACUGUACACUUGCAGUGGCCAGGAUGCAUUUGACUACUUUAAAAACGAGCCUGAGCUUUUUGACGUGUAUCAUGCAGGAUAUCAAGAGCAGAUGUCACAUUGGCCAGAGCAGCCAGUUAAUGUGAUAAUCAAGUGGUUGAAGAGUCAUAACAAAUCAUGGACCGUUGCUGAUUUUGGAUGUGGGAAUGCAGCAGUUGCUAAAAACGUGAAGAACAAGGUCUUCUCCAUCGAUCUUGUUUCAGAUGACCCUUCAGUGAUUGCUUGUGAUAUGGCUCAUACCCCAUUGGAGCCAUCCUCUGUAGAUGUGGCGAUAUUUUGUCUUUCUUUGAUGGGAACCAACUUUCCGAGUUAUCUACAGGAAGCUAACAGAGUUCUCAAGCCAAGUGGUUGGCUUCUUAUUGCGGAAGUGAGGAGUAGGCUAGACCCGGACACCGGAGGUGCUGAUCCUGAUAAGUUCUCUGAAGCCAUCAGCCAGCUUGGCUUUUCCCUUAUUUCGAAGGUUUGUAUUUACUAUUUCAAAGAUUUCCUAGAAAGAUUUUCACAUGAUACAGUGCUCGGCUACUUGCUAGCUUUUUUUUCUUCCCGAAAAAGUCCCUGGAUUAUAUUGAAGUUUCACCUGCAGUACAAAGCACAACAACAGUUAAGGAAAUUAUAA